GGGUCAUUGACCCCUAUGUACAUUUUGGCCAGUGGGCUUUCAUUUGAGUAAUGAGUGUUUUAUGAAUUUUGAACUAAAUUAUUAUAUCAUCUGGAAAUAUUAAUUGUUUUAAACUAUAUAAUGUUGUUGAUAUCUGAGUGACAAAUAUCAAUGUUGAUUAUUUAUUAUGUUGCUGAUCAAAGGAGCUUUCAAUUGUUUAUAUAUGUAAACAAUAAUUUGUUUUUUAAUAAAAUCUUAUGAGAUGUU
rnacentral:misc_RNA from 1 species